rnacentral:lncRNA from 1 species
CAGUUUCUGGCCUUCUACCAUGACGCCGCACCCUGUGUGGGGCUCAGCUGUGCGUCACGUAGGGGUCUCUCUGGCACCUUCGGAUUGGGACGCUGCCUCCGGGACGCUUGCUGAGGCAUCUGCUGUGUGACCAGCGACACACGCUCUGUACCCGCCUCACUCACAGCAGAGCACAUCACCCUUGAGCUCUCAGGCUGAGCUGGAAUCACUGUCUAUUGAUUGCCAUCCAAGCACGUGAAUCCCCGGCCCCAGAACAGCUAUCCUGCAAUGGUGUGGUCUGGAGCAACUCACUUGGCUCAGCUCAAACAAAUAUGGAGGAGUCUAUCACAUGACCUGCCCUGUGUGGAGCCCCCAAGCUGGAGAGAUCAGAAGUGAAUCACACAGCUUCACGCACCCUCCUGAGCCUCCUCAGAGCUGUAUACUGCAUGUAGAAGCAAUUCUAACUGUACGAUGCACGCUGACGGCCACCAUCAGCUCCUCUCCAAGAAGCAACCACAAGUGGAAGAAUCUGCCACUACUACCCUCUUCUUACUCUGGCUCUGGGGUUUUUCCAAGCCAGCACUGCCUUCAGGGAAGCUGUAUGAAGACUGGAGAAAUGAAAACUCUCAUGAAAACAAAACCACAUCAAAUCCAGAGAAGCUGGCUUGAACCUGGGCUUCAUGCAGCCUGGAGCUGUACUACCCACCUCCCCGCAAAUCCCUCUUUUUUUAAACAUUUAUUGAACCACUAAAGCUCUCUGGUAUGAAUACUAAUUUAAGGACAGAUGUGAAACAAAGUCCCAAGUACCGAUGCUAUGUGUAAAUGCACCCCAGAAGACAGG